AUUGAACGCUGGCGGCAUGCUUUACACAUGCGAGUCGAACGGUAACAGGCCGCAAGGUGCUGACGAGUGGCGAACGGGUGAGUAAUGCAUCGGAACGUGCCCAGUCGUGGGGGAUAACUACUCGAAAGAGUAGCUAAUACCGCAUACGAUCUAUGGAUGAAAGCGGGGGACCGUAAGGCCUCGCGCGAUUGGAGCGGCCGAUGUCAGAUUAGGUAGUUGGUGGGGUAAAGGCUCACCAAGCCAACGAUCUGUAGCUGGUCUGAGAGGACGACCAGCCACACUGGGACUGAGACACGGCCCAGACUCCUACGGGAGGCAGCAGUGGGGAAUUUUGGACAAUGGGCGCAAGCCUGAUCCAGCAAUGCCGCGUGCAGGAAGAAGGCCUUCGGGUUGUAAACUGCUUUUGUACGGAACGAAACGGCUCUGGUUAAUACCCGGGGCUAAUGACGGUACCGUAAGAAUAAGCACCGGCUAACUACGU
rnacentral:rRNA from 1 species